rnacentral:rRNA from 1 species
AUUGAACGCUGGCGGAAUGCUUUACACAUGCAAGUCGAACGGCAGCACGGACUUCGGUCUGGUGGCGAGUGGCGAACGGGUGAGUAAUACAUCGGAACGUGCCCAAUCGUGGGGGAUAACGUAGCGAAAGCUACGCUAAUACCGCAUACGAUCUAAGGAUGAAAGCGGGGGAUCGCAAGACCUCGCGCGAUUGGAGCGGCCGAUGGCAGCUUAGGUAGUUGGUAGGGUAAAGGCCUACCAAGCCGACGAUCUGUCGCUGGUCUGAGAGGAUGAGGAGCCACGCUGGGACGGAGACACGGCCCAGACUCCUACGGGAGGCAGCAGUGGGGAAUUUUGGACAAUGGACGCAAGUCUGAUCCAGCCAUUCCGCGUGCAGGAUGAAGGCCCUCGGGUUGUAAACUGAUUUUGUACAGAACGAAAAGGCUCUGGUUAAUACCUAGGGCUCAUGACGGUACUGUAAGAAUAAGCACCGGCUAACUACGUGCCAGCCGCCGCCGUAA